AUAUAGAGAUUUUCGGAUUUUGUUCACCGGAUAGUAGUUACAUAGCCAAUUGUGGAACUUUCUUGCUAAAAUUUUUCAAAUUAUAAUCUUUACGGAUUAUAUAUUUGUUUAAUUAUAACGAUUAUCAAUUAACAAUCAAUUCAGAACUGGCACGGACUUGGGGAAUCCGACUGUCUAAUUAAAACAAAGCAUUGUGAUGGCCCUAGCGGGUGUUGACACAAUGUGAUUUCUGCCCAGUGCUCUGAAUGUCAAAGUGAAGAAAUUCAAGUAAGCGCGGGUAAACGGCGGGAGUAACUAUGACUCUCUUAAGGUAGCCAAAUGCCUCGUCAUCUAAUUAGUGACGCGCAUGAAUGGAUUAACGAGAUUCCUUCUGUCCCUAUCUACUAUCUAGCGAAACCACAGCCAAGGGAACGGGCUUGGAAUAAUUAGCGGGGAAAGAAGACCCUAUUGAGCUUGACUCUAAUCUGGCAGUGUAAGGAGACAUAAGAGGUGUAGAAUAAGUGGGAGAUAUUUAGAAAUUUAUUUUUAUUUAUCGCCAAUGAAAUACCACUACUCUUAUUGUUUCCUUACUUACUUGAUUAAAUGGAACGUGUAUCAUUGCUUAGCCAUAUUAAGGAUCUAUUUUCAAUAGAUCUUAUGGUAUUGGGUCUUGAUGCAAGCUUCUUGAUCAAAGUAUCACGAGUUUGUUAUAUAAUUGUAAACAAAAUUUAAUGAAGAUAAUUGUAUUCAUACUUUUAUUGUUAAUUGAAAUUUGGUAUAACUCCAACACUCAGGUAUGAUCCAAUUCAAGGACAUUGCCAGGUGGGGAGUUCGACUGGGGCGGUACAUCUCUCAAAUAAUAACGG
rnacentral:rRNA from 1 species